rnacentral:rRNA from 1 species
AAACCGAUAGCGAACAAGUACCGUGAGGGAAAGUUGAAAAGUACUCUGAAUAGAGAGUUAAAUAGUACGUGAAACCGCUUAGGGGUUAAGCCCGAUGAACCCGAAUAUCUGAUGUGAGAAAUUCAAUACUGUUCAAUGGGAUUUUUUUUCUAUUGGAUUGUAUGCACUUUUCUCAUAGUAAGACAUUGUAAUCCAUUGAUAUUAUAUCUUUAUUUGUUUAAAGAUGAUUUAACAUACGGACAAAAUGUUUAUGAUUAUUCUAUCAAUGAUAUGUUUUACAUGUCAUAUGAAUAAAAUCGUUUUGUACCUGUUUAAAUAGUCGAUGGAUUUUUCAAUUAAAAUCAUGCUUGCAAUUUAUUUUGCGUUUCGUAUCGUUAAUUUUUAAUUAAUGGUAGCAGAAAUGGCAUGUAUUUGAUUAACAAUGCGAUAGAUUUGGGAUACUUUCAGGACCCGUCUUGA